ensembl:lncRNA
AAGAGUCAGUUUGCAAACGCCCUUUGACUCAGUAAGCCUUGGGCCCAACACAGGAUGGCUGACUCUGGGUCUCGUGCUACGAACCAUGACUCCCCGGUGAGUGAUGGUCAGGCUUGGGCUGGAAAAGGCAGAGUUGGCGGAUUAUCCAAAGGACUGUGGACUUGGCCGUGGGAGGCUUAAGCAGGAUGGAUCGCUGUGGGCGAGUUCUUUGGAGUCUUUAUCUUUCUGUGUGGCUGGCUCAGAUGACAGCAAGGAGCCCGGGAUGAAUCAAUAUGUCCUUGGUCAGCUGCUUUGGUGGCUCCACUGCUGUGCUGGUUCUACAAAUAAUUGGAGUCCAGUCACCAGUGAAUCAGCACGGACAGCCCUUGGCAAGCCGGACCAGGAAGGCUGCUUGGCGUGGCAUGGCUGUAUUGAAGGCGGCUCUGUGCUGGGCAGGGUCAGGUGACAGAAAGCCUGGGCCAGCUGGGUAACUACUCUCACGGGGAUUUGAGCAAGCGACAUUUAUCAUGCCUACCUUAGUUUCUCCUGUGUCUGGUUCUCUCUUUUGAUGAUUCCCUUCCCACUCCAGGCCUCCAUUUAUUUCCUUCAAUAUAGCCAGACGUUAUUCUAACCCUGGGGUGGGGGUUGGGGAGAGUAAACGGGAUCCCCGGCUCUCAUUUUUGGUGCAUGUGGAUGUUUGGUAUCAUGGGGAUACAGUCAGGAGCAAGCGUUGAUUCAGAGGUGAGGAGGAUGAGGUUUGGAGACAGGAGCUAGUUUCAGACACAGAGCGUUAUCAUCAGACGGGCAGUAGGGGUCUGAGGGAGGCGGGCAGAGGGUCGAGGCCUAAAACCAGGCUAAGAACUUGGCUUUUUAUCCGGAGAAAGGCAGAAAUAUGAGGGACUUUUGUUUAUAAUAUUCUUAUAGUUAAUAUUGUUAAAUGGCAUGAACUAAUUCAGGUUUGGGGGUGGAGUGCUUGCUUAGCAUAUGGAGUCAUGAUUUCUACCCGCAGCACCCAAUAAACAGGACCUGGUGGUACAUGGCUAUCAUCCAAGCACUGGGCGGGGGGUGGGUAGAGACAGGAAGAUCAGAAGUUCAAGGCCAUCUUGGCUACAUAGCAAGUUUGAGGGUAGCUCAUGCUGUAGGAGGAUCCUGACUCAAACAACAGCAAAUCUAACUCACUCUAAUAUAAAAAUCAAACGAGGGCCAGGAGGGUUUCUUCUAAUAACUCUGUGUGUGUGUGUGUGUGUGUGUGUGUGUGUGUGUGUGUGUGUGUAUAGAGUAUGUGUGUUGUGUGUGUGGUGUCUGUGUGUCUGUGUCUUUGUGUGUGUGUGUGAGAGUGUGUGUAUGUGUGUGUAGAGUAUGUGUGUUGUGUGUUGUAUGUGUGUGUUGUGUGUGUAUGUGUGUAUAUGUGUGUGUAGAGUAUGUGUGUUGUGUGUGUGGUGUCUGUGUCUUUGUGUGUUUGAGUGUGUGUGUGUAGAGUAUAUGUGUUGUGUGUUGUAUGUGUGUGGUGUGUGUGUAUGUGUGUGAGUGUGUAUGUGUGUGGGUGUGUGUGUAUAGAGUAUGUGUGUUGUGUGUAUGUGUGUGGUGUGUGUAUGUCUGUGUGUGUAGUGUGUGUAUGUGUGUGGGUGUAGAGUAUGUGUGUUGUGUGUGUGUGUGUAUAGUAUGUGUGUUGUGUGUGUGUGUAUGUGUGUGUAGAGUAUGUGUGUUGUGUGUAUGUGUGUGGUGUAUGUGUGUCUUGUGUGUAGUGUGUGUAUGUGUGUGGGUGUAGAGUAUGUGUGUUGUGUGUUGUGUAUGUGGUGUGUGUAUGGUACUGGAGCGAGGUAAUGCUUCAUCACUGCGCCGCACCCCUGCCCAGAAGAGCCGGGAAGGAUCACUCAGAGUAAACAGCUUUCAAAGCCUCUCCUCAGAUGGAAGCUUUUGCUCACAAGCCUUUUGGGUGUGUCCCUCCAGGACUCUUUCUAUGCUCGCACAAACAGCUCUUAUUUUCCUUCACACAAGCAAACCUAUCCGUGAACAUACUGCUGUAUGAGAACCCUGGCCCUUCCACUCCCGCACAUACCAGCCUCCUGCUCUCAGGUCUCUCAGGAGCCCAUUAAUGCCACCUGCCUUCACAGGACAUCCUGAGUGCCCAGGAUGGAGCAGGGGACAAAACACGGGCCUUGUUCUGGAGGUCUUCCCCUUCCUCCCGGUAUCUGACCAUUAUACACAGCGUGCAGGGCUGUCUUUUUUUUUUUUUUGUAGGCAGGGUCUCACUCUGUAGCAGGCUUAGAAAACAUUCUGGAAGCCCGGCUGGUUUGUGUAUGUACCUUUCCAUACACAGUGACAGAAUACAGUGGGGUCAUUUGUGAAGAGGAAUUUUGAGAGCUGGGUGUUGUGACACAUGCUUAUAAUCCCAGCACUUGGGGCUGGG